GGAAGUAUAGAAACCAUUCCCAUUAGAUAAAUGGGUAGUGGAUGUCAAUCAUGAAUAGGAAGUUCUAUAGGAUAGUUGUGAGACCAGCUUUGCUUUAUGGGACAAAAUGUUGGGCGGUUAAGAAACAACAUACCCUAUAAGAUGGGUGUCGUUGAGAUGAGAAUGUUGAGAUGUACGAGUGGAAAGACAAAAAAGGAUAGAAUUCGGAAUGAGUUCAUUUGAGGGAACUUAGGGGUGGCUCCAAUAGGCAAUGAGAGGAGGGCUCGACAUAUGUAAUGCAAACCCAAUACAACACUGAUUAGGAGGUGCAAUUUGAUUCAAGUGGAAUGGAAGGCUCUAAAAGGGCAAAGGGAAGGCCCAUAGUUGUUGGGAGCGGGAGCGGGAGCGGGUACGGGUGCGAGUGUGGGAGCCUAGAUCGGCACUUAGCUAAAGCUCCGUACCCUUGGAGCACUUGGGAGCAUUGCUCAGGGAGCAACCUAGAAGCAAUCUUGUAUAUAUUAACUACAUCUACAUGUAUAUGGAAGUGCAGGGGAAGCACCCCAAAUAUAUAUAUAUAUAUAGGAGGAGUGACUUCAUGCAACGGUUGUAUAGUAAUCUAAUGAAACAAUCUUCAAAAACCAUGUUAUGGCCAUUUGUUUGAUCCAAAUUUUAAAAUAUA
rnacentral:lncRNA from 1 species